AACGAACGCUGGCGGCAUGCCUAACACAUGCAAGUCGAACGAGACCUUCGGGUCUAGUGGCGCACGGGUGCGUAACGCGUGGGAACCUGCCCUUAGGUUCGGAAUAACUCCCCGAAAGGGGUGCUAAUACCGGAUAAUGUCUUCGGACCAAAGAUUUAUCGCCUUUGGAUGGGCCCGCGUUGGAUUAGCUAGUUGGUAGGGUAAAAGCCUACCAAGGCGACGAUCCAUAGCUGGUCUGAGAGGAUGAUCAGCCACACUGGGACUGAGACACGGCCCAGACCUCAUAGGGGAGGAGGGGGAGGGAAAUAUAGAAAAAGGGGGAAAGCGCUGACCAACAAAGGCCGGGGAAGAAAGGAGGGCUUUGGGGUAAAAAAGCUUUUUAACCCGGGAUGAAAAUAAAGGUACCGGAAGAAUAAGCCCCGGCAAACCCCGUG
rnacentral:rRNA from 1 species